rnacentral:rRNA from 1 species
GAUGAACGCUGGCGGCGUGCCUAAUACAUGCAAGUCGAGCGAACGGACGAGAAGCUUGCUUUUCUGAUGUUAGCGGCGGACGGGUGAGUAACACGUGGAUAACCUACCUAUAAGACUGGGAUAACUUCGGGAAACCGGAGCUAAUACCGGAUAAUAUUUUGAACCGCAUGGUUCAAAAGUGAAAGACGGUCUUGCUGUCACUUAUAGAUGGAUCCGCGCUGCAUUAGCUAGUUGGUAAGGUAACGGCUUACCAAGGCAACGAUGCAUAGCCGACCUGAGAGGGUGAUCGGCCACACUGGAACUGAGACACGGUCCAGACUCCUACGGGAGGCAGCAGUAGGGAAUCUUCCGCAAUGGGCGAAAGCCUGACGGAGCAACGCCGCGUGAGUGAUGAAGGUCUUCGGAUCGUAAAACUCUGUUAUUAGGGAAGAACAUAUGUGUAAGUAACUGUGCACAUCUUGACGGUACCUAAUCAGAAAGCCACGGCUAACUACGUGCCAGCAGCCGCGGUAAUACGUAGGUGGCAAGCGUUAUCCGGAAUUAUUGGGCGUAAAGCGCGCGUAGGCGGUUUUUUAAGUCUGAUGUGAAAGCCCACGGCUCAACCGUGGAGGGUCAUUGGAAACUGGAAAACUUGAGUGCAGAAGAGGAAAGUGGAAUUCCAUGUGUAGCGGUGAAAUGCGCAGAGAUGUGGAGGAACACCAGUGGCGAAGGCGACUUUCUGGUCUGUAACUGACGCUGAUGUGCGAAAGCGUGGGGAUCAAACAGGAUUAGAUACCCUGGUAGUCCACGCCGUAAACGAUGAGUGCUAAGUGUUAGGGGGUUUCCGCCCCUUAGUGCUGCAGCUAACGCAUUAAGCACUCCGCCUGGGGAGUACGACCGCAAGGUUGAAACUCAAAGGAAUUGACGGGGGCCCGCACAAGCGGUGGAGCAUGUGGUUUAAUUCGAAGCAACGCGAAGAACCUUACCAAAUCUUGACAUCCUUUGACAACUCUAGAGAUAGAGCCUUCCCCUUCGGGGGACAAAGUGACAGGUGGUGCAUGGUUGUCGUCAGCUCGUGUCGUGAGAUGUUGGGUUAAGUCCCGCAACGAGCGCAACCCUUAAGCUUAGUUGCCAUCAUUAAGUUGGGCACUCUAAGUUGACUGCCGGUGACAAACCGGAGGAAGGUGGGGAUGACGUCAAAUCAUCAUGCCCCUUAUGAUUUGGGCUACACACGUGCUACAAUGGACAAUACAAAGGGCAGCGAAACCGCGAGGUCAAGCAAAUCCCAUAAAGUUGUUCUCAGUUCGGAUUGUAGUCUGCAACUCGACUACAUGAAGCUGGAAUCGCUAGUAAUCGUAAAUCAGCAUGCUACGGUGAAUACGUUCCCGGGUCU